AACACUCUUUAAAAAUAAUAGAAAAAGAUAAAAGAGAAUGAACCUAUUAAGGAGUCAACCACUUGCACCGAAUUUUAAUUCCAUAAAAUAAUAAUCUCACCUGAGGAACCUGUAGCAGCGAGCUCAACCCAGUCAAUGUGCCUCAAGCUCCAAAUGGAUCUAACCACCAGCCUGUCAAUAACUGUGGAUAUUGGACACGUCAUCAAUACAUGGGUCAUUCAUAAUGUAAGAGUUCCAGCUCACUUCUCCAGCUCAUUUUUCUCUCCAUUACUUGUGUAUUUACAUGGGUAUCAAUAUUGUAACCUUCUAGAAUUAUCUGGAUUGAGAGAAAACAGAAUGAGUGAGGUGAAAGGUUGAAUGAGAGAGGGAGCAUUCUCGAAUUUGUGAGGGUGUGUGAUUCUUGUAUGGUGGGUAUUCUUGAUGUAGUGUUCUUACACAAUUUGAAUAAAGGCCUGAAGAUCUUUUUGGAUAGUGGAUGUACACCAAAUUGGUGGAGCCACUUUAACCUUGGUGAUGCUUCUGAUUAUUAUAUUUCUUCUCUGUUCUUAGUAAUCAGUUUCAAUUCCAGUUGCUGAAGUGUCAUGAGGGUGAUUUGUGGAUAUUUGACACGUCAUCAAGUACAUGGGUCAUUCAUAAUGCAAGAGUUCUAGCUCAGUGAUUAUUCUCCAGUUCAUUUAUUUUCGGUCCAGCUCAUUUUUCUCUCCAUUAAUCGUGUAUUUACAUGGGUAUCAAUAUUGUAACCUUCUAGAAUUAUCUGGGUUGAGAGAAAACAAAGUGAGUGAGGUGAAAGGUUGAAUGAGAGAGGGAGAGGGAGCAUUCUCGAGUUUGUGAGGGUGUGAUUCUUGCAUGGUGGGUGUUCUUGAUGUAGUGUUCUUAUGCCAUUUGAAUAAAGGCAUGAAGAUCUAUUUGGAUAGUGGAUGUACACCAAAUUGGUAGAACCACUUUAACCUUGGUGUUGCUU